rnacentral:rRNA from 1 species
GGAAGUAAAAGUCGUAACAAGGUCUCCGUUGGUGAACCAGCGGAGGGAUCAUUACUGAGUUUACGCUCUACAACCCUUUGUGAACAUACCUACAACUGUUGCUUCGGCGGGUAGGGUCUCCGCGACCCUCCCGGCCUCCCGCCUCCGGGCGGGUCGGCGCCCGCCGGAGGAUAACCAAACUCUGAUUUAACGACGUUUCUUCUGAGUGGUACAAGCAAAUAAUCAAAACUUUUAACAACGGAUCUCUUGGUUCUGGCAUCGAUGAAGAACGCAGCGAAAUGCGAUAAGUAAUGUGAAUUGCAGAAUUCAGUGAAUCAUCGAAUCUUUGAACGCACAUUGCGCCCGCCAGCAUUCUGGCGGGCAUGCCUGUUCGAGCGUCAUUUCAACCCUCAAGCUCUGCUUGGUGUUGGGGCCCUACAGCUGAUGUAGGCCCUCAAAGGUAGUGGCGGACCCUCUCGGAGCCUCCUUUGCGUAGUAACUUUACGUCUCGCACUGGGAUCCGGAGGGACUCUUGCCGUAAAACCCCCAAUUUUCCAAAGGUUGACCUCGGAUCAGGUAGGAAUACCCGCUGAACUUAAGCAUAUCAAUAAGCGGAGG